ACGCUGUGACUCAGGCUCCUGUGCUGGGCUAAGUCAGGACGGAGGCUGUCACUCCACAGCGGCUCAGUGUUAUCUCUGCCACAGAUGUUGCUGUUGCAAGGAGCCCUGUCUCCUCUCCCGUUUCCACCAGAUGCUCCUGAGCCUUCAGAUGCCUGGGGGCUUCUCUCCCAUGGUUGCAGCAAAGCCAACAAGAGCAAUUCUCUAACGUGGGCGAGCACGAGGACCUCAGCUGCUAGGACUCGUGUAACAUGUGGAUCUUACAAUGUGUCCUGGAGGAUUUAGCCAGCUGGUCAACCCAGCAGAGAAAAUGACUCGGCGCUUACUGUGGAACAAAAACUGAAUAAGCUCCAGGAAGGAUGGGUUCUGCCUGGAUCUUUGCCUUGCGAGAUGGUUGUUGUGAGGUUGGGAAAUAAAACACAGAAAAUAUUGGUGCAUCUUUAGAUAAGAGCAAGUCCUGGAAAUUGCCCGGACGAGGCUCAUGGAAAUGCUGCAGUCUGCUCAGACGCCUACUUGGCACGCGUUUUACCUUGCAGCGCGGACGUGGCAUAAGGAUCCUAGGAGGAAUCGUUUUAUCAUUAGAUUUUCUUAGAGAUUACGCAAAAGCCCGUCUCCCUGCUGCACACGUUAAUUGCAGAUAUUUCUCCCCCUCGUUUCAGCUUGCAAGAUGCUGGCAUCGGAUUCAUCCUGGUCAUAGACCGAAGGCAGGACAAAUGGACCUCCGUGAAGGCGUCAGUCCUGCGAAUAGCAGCAUCCUUCCCGGCAAACCUCCAGCUCGUCCUUGUUCUGCGACCAACGGGAUUUUUCCAAAGGACUCUCUCUGACCUCGCUUUCAAAUUCAACAGAGAUGACUUUAAGAUGAAGGUUCCAGUCAUAAUGCUGAGCUCAGUACCAGAAUUACACGGUUACAUCGACAAGUCCCAGUUGACCGAGGACCUGGGCGGGACCCUGGAUUACUGCCACACCAGGUGGUUGUGUCAC